UCAUUCAUUCCUAAAUCCCUCCCUCGUUCCAUUCUACCAUUCAUUCUGUACUGAAUACCAUAAGUGAGAGCACGUGAAGUUGUGUCCGCAAUUUAAUUUAAAAUAGAAUCAAAAUUUUGAGAUCAAUACAUACUUUAAAAUUAUUCAAGUCACUUUCAGUUAUUAUUUUUGAAACAUGUCUAGAUACCGUGAGUGGGACCUAUCUUGCAAAGUUUACGUUGGCAAUCUCGGUACAAAUGCAUCAAAAUAUGAAAUAGAAAAAGUUUUUUCUAAAUACGGCAAUAUCAGAAAUGUAUGGGUUGCGAGGAAUCCACCCGGCUUCGCAUUUGUGGAAUUUGAAGACCCACGUGACGCUGAAGACUCUGUGAGAGGCUUAGAUGGAACACGGUGCUGCGGGACGCGCAUACGUGUUGAGAUGUCCAACGGCCGCACCAGAAGAGAUCGCAGGUACUCCAGGUCCAUUUUAUCAACCAACCACCAACACACCAACGACCUCACCACAUCUCUUCACAACAACUACGGCUCGUUUGCCAAUAUGCCAUCCGCGAACGCCGCUCGCAACAACAUCCCGCUCAACUUCUGCGGUCGGCUCUCCAAACUUCUGCGCGCUGCUGAAGUCUCCAACAACUGCGUUCCUAUAACUAUACUCCUUACAGCUGUUACCUAGUCCUUGACCAUAUCCGAAUUUGGACCGACACAAACCGUUGAGAGCCGCACAAUGUAGGAACCGACAACCAUCCUGAAUCAUUGCAAACUCCUGAUGCUUCACCGACUGCACACACUCGUCGUCAUCGUGGCACCAAGCUACACUAACGGCGAUCGACUCUCCCCGUGUUACCGCAAUUUUUCUCAAAACUUCCGAUUCACCGUUCGACGGAAGAUAACACUGAAACUCGCCUCCGCCUCGGUUAAAUCCCUUCAGCUUCACAGCAGCCGCACAACGGUCAACCUUCUACGCAGGCUCACCAUUUCUCGGUCCCGCAGCCGCAGCCCGCGGCGCCGCUCGUACUCCCGCGGACGCUCGCUGUCUCCGCGUCGCUCGCCGUCCGUGCGCCGCCGCUCGCCCUCGAUCCGCCGCUCCCGGUCACGCGACAGACGCAGCCGGUCCGAUAGCAAGAGCAGGUUGGUACUAGGAUCGUCGCCAACGCGUGGCGAAAACGCAAAGGACAUUGUACAAAAUGAGUAAACGUUAAUGUUAACAUGUGAAGUGAAUGUGAAUUAGGAAUGCGAGUUAUGUACUGAAUUAAUAUUAUUAUUUUUGUAUAGGGUUUCAGAGUAAUUGCAGCUUUCAUCCGUUUUAUUACCUUCACUUGUAAGUUGGUAUAUUGUUGUAUAAAUUGUUUAAUUAUAGCUAAAUAUACCUUAUUACAUAAGUAACGAGAACUAAAUACAUACAUAUUGUAGUAAUAUUAAGAUGACUUUUAAUAUAACGAGAUAUAAAGAAAAA